GAUGAACGCUGGCGGCGUGCCUAAUACAUGCAAGUCGAGCGAACAGAUGAGGAGCUUGCUCCUCUGACGUUAGCGGCGGACGGGUGAGUAACACGUGGAUAACCUACCUAUAAGACUGGGAUAACUUCGGGAAACCGGAGCUAAUACCGGAUAAUAUAUUGAACCGCAUGGUUCAAUAGUGAAAGACGGUUUUGCUGUCACUUAUAGAUGGAUCCGCGCCGCAUUAGCUAGUUGGUAAGGUAACGGCUUACCAAGGCAACGAUGCGUAGCCGACCUGAGAGGGGGAUCGGCCACACUGGAACUGAGACACGGUCCAGACUCCUACGGGAGGCAGCAGGAGGGAAUCUUCCGCAAUGGGCGAAAGCCUGACGGAGCAACGCCGCGUGAGUGAUGAAGGUCUUCGGAUCGUAAAACGCUGUUAUUAGGGAAGAACAAAUGUGUAAGUAACGAUGCACGUCUUGACGGUACCGAAUCAGAAAGCCACGGCUAACUACGU
rnacentral:rRNA from 1 species